AUUGAACGCUGGCGGCAUGCUUUACACAUGCCAGUCGAACGGCAGCGCGGGCUUCGGCCUGGCGGCGAGUGGCGAACGGGUGAGUAAUGCAUCGGAACGUGCCCAGUAGUGGGGGAUAGCCCGGCGAAAGCCGGAUUAAUACCGCAUACGACCUGAGGGUGAAAGCGGGGGACCGAAAGGCCUCGCGCUAUUGGAGCGGCCGAUGUCGGAUUAGCUAGUUGGUGGGGUAAAGGCUUACCAAGGCGACGAUCCGUAGCUGGUCUGAGAGGACGACCAGCCACGCUGGGACUGAGACACGGCCCAGACUCCUACGGGAGGCAGCAGUGGGGAAUUUUGGACAAUGGGGGCAACCCUGAUCCAGCCAUGCCGCGUGCGGGAAAAAGGCCUUCGGGUUGUAAACCGCUUUUGUUCGGGAAGAAAUACUCUGGGCUAAUACCCCGGGGGGAUGACGGUACCGGAAGAAUAAGCACCGGCUAACUACGUG
rnacentral:rRNA from 1 species